rnacentral:rRNA from 1 species
GAGACAGGUGCUGCAUGGCUGUCGUCAGCUCGUGUUGUGAAAUGUUGGGUUAAGUCCCGCAACGAGCGCAACCCUUAUCCUUGUUUGCCAGCACUUCGGGUGGGAACUCCAGGGAGACUGCCGGUGAUAAACCGGAGGAAGGUGGGGACGACGUCAAGUCAUCAUGGCCCUUACGAGUAGGGCUACACACGUGCUACAAUGGCGCAUACAGAGGGCGGCCAACUUGCGAAAGUGAGCGAAUCCCAAAAAGUGCGUCGUAGUCCGGAUUGGAGUCUGCAACUCGACUCCAUGAAGUCGGAAUCGCUAGUAAUCGUGGAUCAGAAUGCCACGGUGAAUACGUUCCGGGCCUUGUACACACCGCCCGUCACACCAUGGGAGUGGGCUGCAAAAGAAGUGGGUAGUUUAACCUUCGGGAGGACGCUCACCACUUUGUGGU